UAGGGAAUCUUCGGCAAUGGACGAAAGUCUGACCGAGCAACGCCGCGUGAGUGAAGAAGGUUUUCGGAUCGUAAAACUCUGUUGGUAGAGAAGAACGUUGGUGAGAGUGGAAAGCUCAUCAAGUGACGGUAACUACCCAGAAAGGGACGGCUAACUACGUGCCAGCAGCCGCGGUAAUACGUAGGUCCCGAGCGUUGUCCGGAUUUAUUGGGCGUAAAGCGAGCGCAGGUGGUUUAUUAAGUCUGGUGUAAAAGGCAGUGGCUCAACCAUU
rnacentral:rRNA from 1 species